rnacentral:lncRNA from 10 species
CUUGAAGACAAGCACCGAACAUUCUAGGUCAGCUGGGUCCCCUCUGGCUAGCGUGGCUCUUGGCAAACCUCACCCCGAAAUAUGUGCAGACAUGGGGAACUAUUCCAGCGUAUGAAGGGCGAAAAGCAGGUCACUGAGGGUAUGCAGAAAGAACAUGAUGCAACUUCUGUUUUAAAAAAUGUGUAUCUGUACCUGGUUCUGGAGCAACUGGGCCCAAAAUGUGACCUGGCCAUCAGAGGGUGGGGGUGGUGGGGUGAGACUGCAGGGAAACAUUAUUUUCUUGAGACUUCUAUUUGCUGAAUGUUCUGCAAUGAACAUAUAUAUUAUUUGUCACUAG